rnacentral:piRNA from 1 species
UCCUAAAUUCUUCGAAUUUUGUUUCUCUUC